rnacentral:misc_RNA from 1 species
GCGAUUAGUACAAACUCAAUAUUUCUUUAAUUUAGAGAUGAUUCCAGAAUUACUAUGAUAUUGAUUGAUAAAUAAAAGCUUUAGUUAUAAUUAUAACGGAGUUGUAGAUUAUUUAACUAAAAUAAUAAUAAUUAAUUGGGUGACAAAAUUUAACGGGUUGGAUUUGUAACUCCCGAGGCAAACAAGGCCUAGUAUAUAUAAACUCUCUAACAUUUAUAUAUCCCACAGACGUGGAUAUGACAGGAUUUGUGCUUUACCUGGGUUUCCGGUGGCAAGCUUU